rnacentral:rRNA from 1 species
UUGGGUGACUAUACUAAAGGUGUUCCACCCGUUCCCAUUCCGAACACGGAAGUGAAAUCCUUUGAGGCCGAUGAUAGUGUUUUUACGCGAAAGUAGGUAGUCGCCUGAU